GGUUCCAUAGUAUAGUGGUUAGCACAUCUGCUUUACACGUAAAAGGUCCUGGGUUCAUGCCCCAUUGGAACCA
rnacentral:tRNA from 1 species